AACGAACGCUGGCGGCAGGCCUAACACAUGCAAGUCGAGCGAACCCUUCGGGGUUAGCGGCGGACGGGUUAGUAACGCGUGGGAAUAUGCCCAAAGGUACGGAAUAGCCUCGGGAAACUGAGAGUAAUACCGUAUGUGCCCUUCGGGGGAAAGAUUUAUCGCCAAAGGAUCGGCCCGCGUUGGAUUAGGUAGUUGGUGGGGUAACGGCCUACCAAGCCGACGAUCCAUAGCUGGUUUGAGAGGAUGAUCAGCCACACUGGGACUGAGACACGGCCCAGACUCCUACGGGAGGCAGCAGUGGGGAAUCUUAGACAAUGGGGGCAACCCUGAUCUAGCCAUGCCGCGUGAUCGAUGAAGGCCUUAGGGUUGUAAAGAUCUUUCAGCUGGGAAGAUAAUGACUGUACCAGCAGAAGAAGCCCCGGCUAACUCCGUGCCAGCCGCCGCCGUAA
rnacentral:rRNA from 1 species